UGAGUAACCUGCCCUUAACUCUGGGAUAAGCCUGGGAAACUGGGUCUAAUACCGGAUAUGACUCCUCAUCGCAUGGUGGGGGUGGAAAGCUUUUUGUGGUUUUGGAUGGACACGCGGCCUAUCAGCUAGUUGGUGUGGGUAAUGGCCCACCAGGGCGACGACGGGUAGCCGGCCUGAGAGGGUGACCGGCCACACUGGGACUGAGACACGGCCCAGACUCCUACGGGAGGCAG
rnacentral:rRNA from 1 species